AUGGCGUCGGGGUGCCGGAUCGGGCCGUCCGUCCUCAACAGCGACCUGGCGGCGCUGGGCGCCGAGUGCAGCCGCAUGCUGGACUGCGGCGCCGACUACCUCCACCUGGAUGUAAUGGACGGACACUUCGUCCCGAACAUCACCUUCGGCCACCCCGUCGUGGAGAGCCUGCGCAAGCAGCUGGGCCAGGAGCCCUUCUUCGACAUGCACAUGAUGGUCGCCAGACCAGAGCAGUGGGUGAAACCGAUGGCUGUCGCUGGCGCAAACCAAUACACCUUUCAUCUAGAGGCUACGGACAAUCCAGGGGCGUUGAUAAAAGACAUCCGGGAGAAUGGGAUGAAGGUUGGCUUGGCGAUCAAGCCUGGCACUACAGUUGAACACUUGGCACCUUGGGCCAAUCAGAUAGACAUGGCUUUGGUGAUGACGGUAGAACCUGGAUUCGGAGGGCAGAAGUUUAUGGAAGACAUGAUGCCAAAGGUUCAGUGGCUGAGGACACAGUUUCCCUCGCUGGAUAUUGAAGUGGACGGAGGAGUUGGGCCUGACACCAUCCAUAAGUGUGCAGAGGUGAAUAAAUGUCUUUGCUUCCUGUUUCCACUUGCAACCCCAUUUGAGAACUAGCGAAAGAAGAAUGGCGUCAUCUGGACCUACUGCACUGAAGACAUCUUUCAGAAGAGGUCUGCCAAAACACAGCUUGGCUAGGAAAGAAACUCCUCAUGCUGCCCCAGGGAUCAGACAGAGCAGGAAGCCCUGACCUUACAACAAAGCUGGGUGAGAGCUGGUUGGAUCAGGCUUCUUAAUGAACGGAUACGGGUACGGAAAAGACCUGCAAAGCAUUUGAGACACCUAACUUUCAGAAACCUUUUCCCAGCAGCAGAUGCACAUGCAGGACAAGAGAGAGGGAAAAAUCCACCUCUGUAUUGAGAUGCUGAGGGGGACCUUAGCCUCACAGCACCAGUGCAGCUUCAGUACGACAGCAAAGCUUAGUGCUGCUGCCACUUCAGCGUGUUUGCAAAGCCAUUCUUGGGCCAAGCAGGUCUCUGUGCCAAGAGGAAGCAUUACUGCUAUUUCUUCACUUCUAAAAGGCCAUCAAAUUCAGACUAUAUACAACAUAUAUAGAAAUAACUUUUAAUUAAAAAACCAACCUUGCAUCAAAGAUUAUUGUAUCAGACAUCGAGGCAAGAUUCAAGUUUAAGACAAACCAGUGUUAAAAAAGUGUUUAAAAAAAUAAUCAGAAUGUGCAAUAAACUACAAUGUAGCAAUAGGCUGUAGUGUUGAAACUUUACUGAACUGUUUUCAGAUGCCCAGUGUAUAUUUCCUGUCAUUUUGACCAAAAAAAAAAAAAAAAUUGACACUAAGACUGGGUCAUCUGUCCAGUGCCAUUCCUGGUAUUACACGUGGAAGAAAAUUUUGCACAAACAGAGACUCCUAUUAAAUUGCCUUCAACUGUCCUACACAGAAAAACUUCCCGUUGAUGGAUUAUACCUACAUUCAAUGUUUAAUCUUUGUUAAUACCUCUUGAGAUUGCAGAUACAUUCCAAACUACGCUAUUUAGAUGCAAGUUUAAACAACUUGCUCUUGUUUCCU